UAAGCGGAGGAAAAGAAACUAACAAGGAUUCCCCUAGNAACUGCGAGUGAAGCGGGAAAAGCUCAAAUUUAAAAUCUGGCGGUCUCCGGCCGUCCGAGUUGUAAUCUGGAGAAGCGUUUUCCGCGUCGGACCGUGUACAAGUCUUCUGGAACGGAGCGUCGUAGAGGGUGAGAAUCCCGUCUCUGACACGGACUGCCGAUGCUUUUGUGAUACGCUCUCGAAGAGUCGAGUUGUUUGGGAAUGCAGCUCAAAACGGGUGGUAAAUUCCAUCUAAAGCUAAAUAUUGGCGAGAGACCGAUAGCGAACAAGUACCGUGAGGGAAAGAUGAAAAGCACUUUGGAAAGAGAGUUAAACAGUACGUGAAAUUGUUGAAAGGGAAACGUUUGAAGUCAGUCGCGUCGGCCGAGACUCAACCUUGCGAUCUCGCUUGGUGUACUUCUCGGUCGACGGGUCAGCAUCAAUUUCGACCGUCGGAUAAAGGCGAGGGGAAUGUGGCAUCCUCCGGGGUGUGUUAUAGCCUUUGGUUCGGAUACGACGAUCGGGAUUGAGGAACUCAGCACGCCUUUAUUGGUCGGGGCUUCGGCUCACGUUAACGUGCUUAGGAUGCUGGCAUAAUGGCUUUAAGCGACC
rnacentral:rRNA from 1 species